rnacentral:rRNA from 1 species
GUAGUCUCGCACAGAUGCAUAUCAAUAAGCGGAGGAAAAGAAACUAACAAGGAUUCCCUUAGUAACGGCGAGUGAAGCGGGAAGAGCUCAAAUUUGAAAUCUUCAAGGUUUUACCUUGACGAAUUGUAGUUUAAAGAAGUGUUUUCUGUUGAAGUUUUGGUAAAAGUUCUUUGGAAUAGGACAUCAUAGAGGGUGAGAAUCCCGUAUUUGACCAUUAUUUUCAGCUGUGUGAUACACUUUCAAAGAGUCGGAUUGUUUGGGAAUGCAGUCCAAAAUGGGUGGUAAAUUUCAUCUAGAGCUAAAUAUUGGCGAGAGACCGAUAGCGAACAAGUACCGUGAGGGAAAGAUGAAAAGAACUUUGAAAAGAGAGUUAAACAGUACGUGAAAUUGUCAAAAGGGAAGCGUUUGACACCAGUGUUGUUUUCUCGAAAAUCAAUUAAAAAGAGUUUAGAUUUUGUUGUGUAUUGACCUUAACAGCUUGCAUUUCAAUUUUCUUGCUUUUUUUAAUGCACUUUUCGUUUAACAAGUCAACAUCAGUUUCUUUUGUUGUAAAAAGGUCAUUGGAAGGUGGCUUUCUUUUCGGAGAAAGUGUUUAUAGCCUUUGACUCCUGCAAUCGGAGAGACUGAGGUCUGCAGCGUAGAUCCUUCGGGGUUAGAUACAUUUGUGCUAAGUUAUAGCUUUUUAUAGACAACUUGUUGACUAUGAUUAGUCUUGUAGCUUACUCGCUUAUGCUAUUUUACCUACGCUUAGGAUGUUGAGCGCAUGUCUCUCUCU